GCGGUGGAGCAUUGUGGUUUUAAUUCGUAAGCAACGCGAAGAACCUUUACCAGGGUUUGACAUGCAAGUGGUAGGAAGCCGAAAGGUGACCGACCUUCGGGAGCUUGCACAGGUGCUGCAUGGCUGUCGUCAGCUCGUGUCGUGAGAUGUUCGGUUAAGUCCGCUAACGAGCGCAGCCCUCGCUGUGUGUUAUAUGUGUCACACGGGACUGCCGGUCUUAAGCCGGAGGAAGGUGGGGAUGAUGUCAAGUCAGCAUGGCCUUUAUAUCCUGGGCUACACACACGCUACAAUGGCCAACACAAUAGGUUGCUAAGCCGCGAGGUGGCGCCAAUCCAUAAAGUUGGUCUCAGUUCAGAUUGUAGGCUGCAACCCGCCUGCAUGAAGAUGGAGUUGCUAGUAACCGCAGGUCAGCUAUACUGCGGUGAAUACGUUCCCGGGGCUU
rnacentral:rRNA from 1 species